GACUGAGGUGCCAAGCGUUAGGCGGAAUCACUGGGCUUAAAGCGUGUGUAGGCGGAUCGUUAAGUACCUUGUGAAAUCCCACGGCUUAACCGUGGAACUGCUCGGUAUACUGGCGGUCUUGAGCAACCUAGGGGCGAGCGGAACAAAUGGUGGAGAGGUGAAAUGCGUAGAUAUCAUUUGGAACGCCAAUGGUGAAAACAGCUCGCUGGGGGUUUGCUGACGCUGAGACACGAAAGCCAGGGGAGCAAACGGG
rnacentral:rRNA from 1 species